UUCCUAUAUUUUCUUCUAGGAGUUGCAUGGUUUCAGGUCCUACAUUUAACUCUUUAAUCCAUUUUGACUUACUUUUUUUUGUUUAAGAUGUAAGAAA